rnacentral:lncRNA from 1 species
CGGUACCACUACAACCGACACCGGUACCAGUAUCACCAGGACCAGGAGCACCGGUACCGGGCGGUGAGGGUACAUCCGGUACCGGGAGGUACCAGGAGGACCGUCACCCCCGGUACCACCGAUACCGGCAGGUCCAUCUCCACCGGUACCACCGGACCCAUCAUUGACGGCACCACCGGAACCAGCCCCACCGGUACCACCGGUCCCAUCAUUGACAACCCUACUGGAGUCAGUCCCACCGGUACCACCAGCCCCACCAUUGACAACCCCACCGGAACCAGCCCCAGAGGUUCCACUGGACCCACCAUUGACGGCACCAUCGGAACCAAGCC